rfam:Clostridium sp. 7_2_43FAA genomic scaffold supercont2.3, whole genome shotgun sequence.
UUCUUAUCCAGAGAGGUGGAGGGAGAAGGGCCCGAUGAAACCCGGCAACCUACUUUAUUAAGUUUAAGUGUGGUGCCAAUUCCUGCAAAGUAAUUUUGCAAGAUAAGAA